rnacentral:misc_RNA from 1 species
GCAUUUUUCAAAUCAUAGUCUAACAAAACCUAAGGUAACUCUAAUUUCCUCACACCAUAGAUGUACAGUAAGACCAACUCUGCAUUACUUCUCUGCAGAACUUGGAUUUCUAACGCAAAAACGCUCAUCACUUGCAACGUUGUGGAGAAAACUUUUCUUCACCGCCAACAUCAACGCCAUUGGUUUUGUUCCUUGGCUCAAGCUGGUGCAAACUCAUCUCAGAAGAUGAGUGAUAAUAGGUGCAAUCAUGUUACCCGUGUUCUUUUUUGUGGGCCUCAUUUUCCUGAUUCUCACAAUUAUACAAGAGAAUAUUUGCAAGGCUAUCCAUUUGUUCAGGUUGAUGAUGUUCCACUCGAAAGUGUGCCUGCUGUGAUUGGUGACUAUGAUAUUUGUGUGGUUAAAAGCUUCCGUAUGAACUCUGAUGUUCUCUCCCGUGCAAAGAGGAUGAAGCUCAUAAUGCAAUUUGGAGUUGGGUUAGAAGGUGUUGACAUUACUGCUGCCACAAAGCAUGGAAUUAAGGUCGCCAAAAUUCCGGGUGGUGCAACUGGAAAUGCUGCUUCAUGUGCUGAAAUGGCCAUAUAUCUCAUUUUGGGCCUCCUGCGUAAGCAACAUCAAAUGAAAAUUUCCGUGGAGCAGAAAAAGCUAGGGGAGCCAACUGGUGUCAACCUGCAAGGGAAAACGGUAUUUAUCCUGGGGUUUGGAAAUAUCGGGAUACAUUUAGCAAAGCGUUUACGCCCAUUUGACGUGAAAAUACUUGCUACAAAACGAAGUUGGGGCCGGCCUGCACAGGACUCGAGCAAAUCCGAGGCACCGUCUGUUGAGAAUGGUGGCUACGCUGACCUAGUUGACGAGAGGGGAAACCAUGCUGAUAUCUUGAAGUUUGCAAGCAAAGCUGAUAUUGUUGUAUGUUGCUUAGCUAUGAACAAUGAAACUAUUGGCAUCGUGAACAACGAUUUUAUAUCUGUCAUGAGAAAGGGUGCCAUUCUGAUUAAUAUAGCUCGAGGUGGUCUGUUGGAUUAUGAUGCUGUUUUAAGUCAUCUCAAAUCGGGACAUUUAGGAGGUUUAGGAAUUGAUGUUGCUUGGACUGAACCAUUUGAUCCCGAUGAUGCUAUCCUCAGAUUUCCAGAUGUUAUAAUCACACCCCAUGUUGCUGGUGUGACAGAAUUGUCUUAUAGAGACAUGGCCAAGGUUGUUGGAGACGUUGCUCUUCAACUCCAUGCUGGAAAACCUUUUACAGGAAUAGAGAUUGUCAAUUGAACCAAUCAGUAUGAUGAAAGAAUAAUUUCUUGCCAUUGCUCAAAGUAGUUUCUUUGAUUUUCAUAUAUAUACCUGUACUGGCAUAAGUAUUCGAAUAAACUAAGGUCUCAUUUGUUUAAUUGUUAAGACAAAAGUCUGAGUCUUAAUCAUUCAAAGUCAG